GAUGAACGCUAGCGGCAGGCCUAAUACGUGCAAGUCGAACGGUGUCUUUGGACAUAGUGGCGCACGGGUGCGUAACACGUAUGCAACCUACCUUACAUUGGGGGAUAGCCUUUCGAAAGGGAGAUUAAUACCGCAUAAGACAGUAGCUGGGCAUCCAGCAGCUGUUAAAGAUUUAUCGAUGUAGGCUGGGCAUGCGUCCAAUUAGCUAGUUGGUGAGGUAACGGCUCACCAAGGCAAUGACUGGUAGGGGAACUGAGAGGUCAAUCCCCCACACUGGCACUGAGAUACGGGCCAGACUCCUACGGGAGGCAGCAGUAGGGAAUAUUGGGCAAUGGACGCAAGUCUGACCCAGCCAUGCCGCGUGCAGGAUGAAGGCGUUAUGCGUUGUAAACUGCUUUUAUACAGGAAGAAACGACUCUUGCGAGAGGCAUUGACGGUACUGUAUGAAUAAGCACCGGCUAACUCCGUGCCAGCCGCCGCCGUAACAC
rnacentral:rRNA from 1 species